UCGUGCUAGGCGGGGGGCUCGGGGUCCCCUGAAUCGGAAACCCUCGACAUGCCGGGCCGAUUACCCGUCCGCGGCCCUUGAGGGACCGGGCAGCCCCCGGUGUGCAGCGUUGAUGGUUGGGUCCUGCGCGACCCGGAGCCGUGAACCCGGUCAGGCCCGGAAGGGAGCAGCCGUAAGCGGUGUACCGAGUGUGCCGCAGGGAUGCCCGGCCGGAGCCGGCUGCCGGGGAUAGCGUCGGUCGUUCGAGGGUCCAGGACGGGGUGCACGG
rnacentral:SRP_RNA from 2 species